UACGGAGGGUGCUAGCGUUGUUCGGAAUUACUGGGCGUAAAGAGCGUGUAGGCGGUUGGGAAAGUCAGAUGUGAAAUCCCGGGGCUUAACCCUGGAAGUGCAUUUGAAACUACCCGGCUAGAGUAUGGGAGAGGGGAGUGGAAUUCCCAGUGUAGAGGUGAAAUUCGUAGAUAUUGGGAGGAACACCCGUGGCGAAGGCGACUCUCUGGACCAAUACUGACGCUGAGACGCGAAAGCGUGGGGAGCAAACAGG
rnacentral:rRNA from 1 species